rnacentral:rRNA from 1 species
AACAAACGCUGGCGGCGUGCCUAAUACAUGCAAGUCGAACGGGGAAAGCUUUCGGGUGAGUACUAGUGGCGCACGGGUGAGGAGCGCGUGGAUAAUCUGCCUUAGAGUGGGGGAUAACUAGUCGAAAGAUUAGCUAAUACCGCAUAAGACCACGAGAGCUGCGGCUUUUGAGGUCAAAGGUUUUUCGCUCUAAGAUGAGUCCGCGUAAGAUUAGCUAGUUGGUGAGGUAACGGCUCACCAAGGCGACGAUCUUUAACUGGUCUGAGAGGAUGAUCAGUCACACUGGAACUGAGACACGGUCCAGACUCCUACGGGAGGCAGCAGUAGGGAAUAUUGCACAAUGGAGGAAACUCUGAUGCAGCGACGCCGCGUGAGUGAUGAAGGCCUUCGGGUCGUAAAGCUCUGUCGCAGGGGAAUAACACAAUGAAGGUACCCUGUAAGAAAGGAUCGGCUAACUUCGUG